UACAGAGGUGGCAAGCGUUGUUCGGAAUUACUGGGCGUAAAGGGCGCGUAGGCGGCCCGUCAAGUCCCGUGUGAAAGCCCCCGGCUCAACCGGGGAACGGCGCGGGAAACUAGCAGGCUUGAGUUCGGGAGAGGGAAGCGGAGUUCCGGGUGUAGCGGUGAAAUGCGCAGAUAUCCGGAGGAACACCGGUGGCGAAGGCGGCUUCCUGGACCGACACUGACGCUGAGGCGCGAAAGCUAGGGGAGCAAACGGG
rnacentral:rRNA from 1 species